rnacentral:lncRNA from 1 species
CUCUUGCAGCAAGGUCAGAGUGCAGUGAAGAAACCAAUCUGCCUUUGCAGCAAAGUCAAGAAACAAAAGAAAUAAAAUAGAGGGCAGUGCUGUCUGCAGCACGGAGGAGAGGAAUCCGGGGGAGUGCAGUGAAGGGGCUUGCGGUAUAAAGAUAAAGAAACAAAAACUGCCUCUUUGGCAGCACCGAGAGCAUCAGUUCCCUUGGGCAGCGAGAAGGACACGGAUAGAAGCAAUCUGGACAGAGGGAACACAGCAAGCAUUCACUCUCUUUCGGUUAAAUCCUUCCAAACUCAUAUUUUAUUUCUGUUUUAAUAAUGUGUAACUAAUUUUAUUUUGGCUAGAGGUUAAUUCAAAGCCAUGAAUAUAUUUGUAAUAUGAAUUGAUUACCUUCAGUUGUGAUUUCUGAGUUGUGAUUUAAUUUGCUUAACUGCUUGAUUGAUAACUUAUUUUUGUAUGUCGAUUAAGAAUGCAUACUUAAUUUACAUGCAUGAAUUUGAUGCUAGAAUAUAAGUGAAUUUCACCUAAUCGUUAUGAACUUAUAUUCACAAGUAGUAAAGGUUGCUAGUCACAAUCACGUUAAGUAAAUUCUUGGCAUAAGUUUCAUGCAAAUCAUAGUAACGAGUGCCUCGUCAAUGCUUAUGUUUUUCAUAGAACUUAAUGAUUCUUGCUUGUAUCUCUAUUAUGCAAUUCAUGUAGGGAACUUGUAGGGAAUGUUUUGGGUUGUCGUAUGCAAUCAUCCAACCCAAUAACUUGUGGAAAAACUGAGGGUUAAUUAGUGCAAUUCACGGUUAAUUUGGAGCGUUGAGAUUUACAAUUUAUUGAAAGAACAACUGAAAAUCAAUUUAGGUUGCAUAUGUGUCAUGUGUGGAGAAGAACCCUCUAGCUAGUUUGUCAUUUAUCAUUUUACCUUAAUUUUAUGUUUUUGUCAAUUCUGUAAUUUAAUUAAGUUUAAUUUACUUUUCAUCAAAACCAAACAUCCAUCCAUUAUUAAAUUAUAUUAUUUAGUUAGUUUUCUUUAUUGUUAGUCUUUUAAUUUAAUUUCCGUCCAUUUCAGUUCCUAGUGUUUAAUUUAAUUGUUUUCAUUAUUUUGAGUCAUUUUAAGUGUGUUUCGAGUUAUUAGAGUUUUUAGCCUAGUUUUGUGUCCUUGAGUCUUAUUUAAUAUUUUUAAAUUAAUUUAGAAUAGAUUAGCAAUCCCUCCUAAUCCCCGGUUUAGAACGAUCCCUACUUACAUACUUUGCUACAACUGUCAAAAGAGGGUUUAAUUUGUGUGUUAACUUAUUUUUCACAUCAAAUUUUGGCGCCGUUGCCGGGGAUUAGCAACUUUGCUAAUCCCUUUAUUUUUGUUUUUGUUUAUGUUUAUAUUGGUGUUUGUGUAUUUUACUUUUGAUAUUUGAUUUAUUUAUUUAUUUUUUUUUUUUUUAUUUGAUUUUAGGUACAAAUGGAGCGAGACAUGGCACUUGCGACCAUUCAAGUUCAAUUGGCACAGCUCACUGCUCAAUUGACUCAUAAUGCCGAACGGACCACAAUGCCAAGUGUCCCUACAUUUGAUGUGCCCUAUGGGCAAGGUUAUCAAAGUCCUCAAUUUUAUGCAAAUGAAGAUGUUUGGGGAUAUCAAGGCCAUAACCAAUCGAGGGGCAACAUUUUUUCCAACGCUUACAAUUCAGAUUGGAGAGGUAAUUCAGAUUAUAUGUGGGAUGAACCUCAACAAUUUCAACAAGGUGGAUAUUGGCAGCAAGACGAGUUCUAUUCAAGACCUAUGCAGCCACCACAGCAUUCCCCACAACAAUUCCAAUCAAAUCAAAGUAUGCCCAUGAAUUAUAAUGAAAUUCUUGAAGGACUAAUUUCUGUAGCGCAGGGUUUACGAAAAGAAGAACAAUUGCCGCCAUCAGAAGAGUUCUAUCAGUGGCCAUAUGAACCGUCACAGCCACCACAACAAUCAACCCAAUUCAAUUCAGGUACGUCCUUGGAUAAUGAUACACUUAAUAAGUUACUCACCUCUUUGAAUCAGGGAGUAGAAAAUCGAAACCAGGAGAUGCAAGACCGAGUCAAAAGAGUGGACGAAUUGGAGAUGCAAGUUGGGCAGAUUGUGGAAUUCAUGGCACAGAUUCGAGAUCAAAGUGAACUUUCCAACUCAAACAUUGCAAAUUCAAAGGCAGAAAGUGAAAUCGAUGAAGCCACCACCUUGGAAGGUGACAUGAAGGAUGAAGCUGUCCCAGAACCAUCCAAACACAGCCCAAACAUGGAUGAAUUGCUGCUGCAAGCAGAAGAGGAAGAGGACGACCUGGGCAGUUUAGAAGAAUUCUUGCUGCAAACUCCUCAAAUCCCUAUGUCAUCUAACUCAGGUGAGGAAAGUCUAAAUUCACUUCAUUCUAACAUUAGUCCACCGAAUGUCCUUUGUCCUUGCAGGUUUUUGAUUCCAAAUAUCAAAGAGAGUGAAAAAGACAUUGUGGAAGCUCUUCCAAAGGUGCAAAGUGAUAUCCCAAUUCUUGGUGCACCAAAACAAGUUCCCGAUGGUAUUGAAAUGUUCAAAGAACCUUGCACACCAAGAAAAGGGAUUCAAGAAAAUGAAGUGGUUGAAGCAUAUCAAGAAUACAUCCAAGAGGCUGUGCAUGAGACAAUCAAGCCCAAAGCAGUUGAGUUUGAUGACACGGGACAAGCCACAACCAUCAUAGUAAACCUGGCCAAGUUCAAAGUCCCGGAAAUGUUCACAGAUGUGGUGUUUGUCAUUGAGUUUGUGUCGGAAAAAGAAAAUAAGCCAUCUUCUCCAAUUUUAAUUUUAAUUUAUACUAACAUGUUUCUUAUUUUGAUGAUUCAGGCACCCACUCUUGAAUUUAAACCAUUGCCGAAUCAUUUCAAGUAUCACCUCCCAUUAAAAGAUAAAUUUCAUGCUUUGGAGCCGAGGGGAGGUUAAAGGAAAGAUUCGUCCGGCUAAAGACGUUAAAUCAAGCGCUUCUUGGGAGGCAACCCAAGCAUUCAACGAAGGGAGACUUUGGAAUCGCUCACCAAAUCAGAUUUGAAUUCUUACACCCUUAUCUUUACUGCUUUCAUUUUGUUUUGUUCAGUUAGUUGUGUUAUUUGGUUGAUUUAUGUGAGUUUGUGUUAUUUAGUUUAAGUGUAGGGGAAGGUUAAACAAAGUCUUUUUACAUUGAUUUACAUAUUUUACAUUGAUUUAAAAAAAAAACAAAAACAAAAAAAAAAAAAAAAAAAACAAAACAAAACAAAACACACCUAAAGAAAAAAAAAAAAAAAAAAAAAAAAAAAUAGAAAUAAACAUUUUUUUACAAUGAUGUGUAAACUAAUAGAAUUCAUUGGUCAGGUGGUGCUUCAGUAGUCGGCGGAGCUUCAGCAGUCGGCGGGGCCACGGAAGGAGGAGGUAUCGGAGGUUGAUCAGUUGGAGCUUCACUACGCGGUGCCGCCCCAGAAGACGAAGGAAGAUGCGGUUGGAACAAACCCACAAACCUCCGAUGAUCAAGUAAAAUUUGACCAUCAGUGUCUUGCAGCUGGUCAAUUUUCCUCUUCAUGUUUGUGGCAUAAUUGUGUGCAAGCUUGUGCAAUUGUUUAUUUUCAUGCUUGAGUCCUCUAAUCUCCUCUUUGAGACUCUGUAUUUCAGCCACCAACGAUUCAACAUGACGGGUUCGGGCAAAUAGGCGUUGGGCCAUGUUGGACACGGAACCGGCACACUGCACGCUAAGAGCCAGAGACUCCUUAACCGCCAAUUCAUCAGAUCGUCUAGCGAGCAGUCUGUUAUCUCUGGGGGUGACAAGGUUCCGGGCCACCACCGCAGCUGUCAUAUCAUUUUUCAUCACCGAAUCCCCCACGGUAAGGGGACCGGUAGGGGAUAUGAAAGAUGGGCGCCAUAUGUUGUCUGGUGAAGGCGGAGCUGCCUCUUCACCAAUGUUCAAGUCAAAACGACGAUCGGAAGGGCCAGACAUUUUCUGAAGGUGGUGAAGAAAGAAGAGAGUCGGACUGAUUAAGAUUUUGGAAGUUUACAGGAGGGAGUGUUUACAAGAGGGAGCUCAAGUGUGUUAUGGAACAAAAUUAACGCCUCUAUAAAAAGAAGAAAUCAAAGAGGCGCUCCUCAGAGAAGCGUCCUCUCGCAAAUCGAAGAGUCGGGGCUCCUUUCUCAAAAACCGGAUUUUUUUUCUCAAAAGAGGCGUUGCAUUUCUUAAAGGCUGGGCUUGCUCAGAAACCACGAGCCGAACCCCGGAUUUCAAAAGAUCAAAUUGUCCAGACGUGUCGUCACUCGUCACAUGCAACUGGCUGCUUUGCGAAAAUCUCGGGCAGUUUGUCGAAGCACCAAUUCAGAAAUCGAAGAGGGAAAUUCAACAGUCAAAGACACGCUAGCUUUCUCAAAAGCUGGGCUUCAACCCACGGGCAAAUCUUCUUUUCCAGAUUUAUCCGCACGUGUCACAUACUACCUCUACAAUCGACGAUGCUCAGAGCUCGAAGCGCCGAUUCCAGAUAUCAAUGAGGAAUCUGCUUUGCGAAAAUUACGGGCAGCUUUGUCAGAAAGCGCGUAAUUUAUACUAUCAUUCAUCCACCGGCUGCCGACAAUGAGUGAGAGAAUAGUUCCGGUUGUGAAGAAAAGCCCUAUAAGUAUCUACCUUCGCCUUUCACAGCAAAGACACACCCUCUUAACACUUCUUCAUCUCCGAAAAUGCAUUCUCAAAGAAUCCUUCUAAGUUACUCCGUGUUCCUCAUUCCCUGGGAUACCCCUGCAAACAACCCAUCCAGAGCAAAAGUAUUUCAUAUCAUAAUGGUUGAAAGCAAGAGUAUCUCAUAUCAUGCAUUCUCCAUGACCUUUUCCUUGUCUUUGUUCUAACCUGCAGGACAUGGAGAAAUUGCUCUCGAGUACUCGUCUUCCACUGCUGAUGUACUUCCAAAGAAGCUGCCACAUCUACCUGAAGAACAGAUAAGGCAAGCGAAAAUGAUACCACCAGCAUGUGGAGACAACGUACAGAAGAAACAAGCAGAGAAGAAUGCAGCUUGCACAAUCAUCCCAGCGGAAUGAGUCCGAGCUGAGGAACUAGAGAAGCUGCCACAUCUGCUUGGAGAACAAAUAAGGAACUGCAACAUCACCAAAGAGCAAAGCUUCGCCGUACAAUAUCAUCAAAUCAUCACUUGCAAGUAAAAAGCUAAGUGUCACCCCGUUCAAAAGGAAAGCUGUGGAAAGUCAACAAGCACGACCAAUGACCACUUAUUAGUUCUAUUCAUUGUCUUUUAUCGUGAUUUUCAAUUUUUCGUUUGCAAUUUUUUUUUUAUAUUUCUUGUGUCACUUAACUGAAUUAUUUCUUUUCUUUGCAGGAACUUUUGGUUAUUUCCACCCUUGAAGUUGAUUGCAGAAUUUUAGCUUGGGGGUCAUCGCUUGAUUUUACUGCAAAUUAGGGAAGUUUUCAGUCCAAUUGUUUUUAUUUUUGUUUCUUAUUAUUUAUUUUAUUUUAUUUUUAUUUGCAUUAUAGUGUUUUCUGACAUUGGGGACAAUGUCAAGUUUAAGUGUGGGGGUAGAAAUCUCUAGAAUUUCAUUUGUUUCUGUGUUGUUACUUUUUUUUGUUUUCUUUAAAAAAUAAAAUAAAAAAUUCGGAAAAUUUAAAAAUCCAAAAAUAUUGUCUUGUUUUCCUUAUUAGAUUUUUGUUAGUUUCCCGACCCAAUGCUAUAAUUAGAUCAAAUUUGAACCAUGAUCAUCAAGAACUUAGUUAACAUAUGUUUUUGUGAAAUUCCUAAUUCUCUUGUUAGUUUUGUACAUGUUUGAUCAUCUUUUGAAAAACCAAAUGCACAUAGCCUUGUUGAUGUGAAACUAAAGCAUGACUUAAAGCUUCAUAUGUGAAUUUAGUGACCAUAUACAUCCUAUGUGAGUUUUUGAGCCUAUUGAAAGUGUGUGCAUUUUUCAUACACUCCUAUUUUUUUUUUUAUGUGUGAUGAACUUAUGUGAGAUACAUCUCUAGAACUUGCGUAACGAUCUUUCGAAAUGUUUGUCAUUGAUUGCAUGAACUUGGAAAUGAUAGAGGCAUUAGGUUUACCACUAUGGCCCAAAUAACCAUGUUUCCCAAAUAAAAAUGAUAUCAUUAGAUUGCCAAUUUGAGCCGUGUAUGUUGAGCCUUUUAUUUCUUAUCACCAGAUAUGUCUACCCUUAUACCUGAAACAUUUUUCCUUACCCUUUCCAAGCGAGCAAUGCGAGAUUGUCUUAUGAGAAACGUUUGUGAAGUACUUUGAAGGUGUUUGGCAAAAGAAUAAGUGUGGGGGUAUUUCAUGUUUGUGUGUAAAAAAAAAAAAAAAAAAAAAAAAGAAAGAUUGUAUACAAAUGAAAUAAAAAGUUGUUCAAUUUUCAGUUUAAGGGUGUGGUUGGAGGUGCUAAAAGAAUAGUUGGAAAUAUUGAGUUCUUAUAAAUCUAAAGAAAAGAAUUGCUUGCAAUGUAGCUUGGAACUUGUGUUUUCCUAUUCUUUCGUUUCAAUAACCCUAUCCCUAAGCCUCAUUACAUCCAAUAAAAGUCCUCUUGAUUUAAGUUUUGCAAUUAUGACUGUGGAGAAGUGAUUUUUAUGCAAGCUUAUGGUAGAUAUUUCACAUUUGAUUCUUUGAGCGAAACACAUUAAAACUAAACACAUAUUUGAUUGAGUGCAUAUCCCGUGAGAAGGUCGCUAGUUUGCAUAUGAUGAUUUUAAAAAUAAAAACUUGAAAUUGCAUUAGCAUGGCUAUCUCACACACUACACUUCAAGGAUGAUUCAAAGAUUACUGCUAAUAUUUGAAUAAGAAAGAUGAACUUGGAUUAGUUCCUUGAUGCUAGCUAUGGUUCUUGUUGAUUUGUGUUCUCGAAUGAAAUUCUAUGAGGGUCACAUAGGGGGAAGCUAAUGUUUUUCUUGUUACUUCUUGUUCUAGUUUUCUUUGUUUUGCUCGAGGACUAGCAAAAGCUAAGUGUGGGGGUAUUUGAUCACUCAUAUAUUUCAUACAUAUAUACCAUCCAUUUCUAUAGUCUUUGUGAUGUUUUUGUGUUAAAAUUGUGGCAGUUUACCUUAUCUUGUGUUAAUGUGUAGUUAAUUUUGUUGUAGGAUCAAUUUUAAGCAAAAAGAAGAAAAUGAAACAGAAAGAAAACAAAAUAAACAAAGGCAGUGGAAAGGAUGAUUACACGAGUAGUGGACAGAAUGUCCACUAAAGAAACGGAAAAAGAAUCCAAAGGAUCCAAGAGAGAGAUGGAAUAGAAAAAUAGAAAGAGGAAGCUGGAGGCGUGAAAAGAAGACUCGGGGGGAAGGUGGAAUGGGAAGAAGACAGCGAGGCUGCCAGGUGGAAAACCAGGAAGAGAACGUGCAGGAAAAAGCAGAGACGCGGGCCGUUGCAGCUGGCAAAGCGUGAAGGAUAGGAGAAGGUGCGGAAAAAGAAUAAAGAAAAGAGAUAAAGGGGGGACGUGGGGAGAAACAAAGCGGCCUUUGCAGCUGGGCAGAGGCGGCCCUUUGGCAGCAGAAGAAACGUCAGGAGAGAGAGUGAGAGAGGCGCUGCAUUUUUGCAGCCUGUACAGAAGCAACGCAGAGGAGAGAACCGAGAGCAUCAGUUCCCCUUGGCAGCUGUGAGAGGUUAGCCUCGGACGAGGAUAAGCGCUGCCUUACAGCGUGUUCAGCUGCUGUGCAAAAAAAAAAGGUUUUUUGGCGGUGCAAAGUCAGAGGGCUGCAUGUGCUCGCGGUGGAAAGAAGUAAAUGCUGCCUCUUUGGCAGCUGGAGAGACAAGAAACCGCUGCUCUUGCAGCAAGGUCAGAGUGCAGUGAAGAAACCAAUCUGCCUUUGCAGCAAAGUCAAGAAACAAAAGAAAUAAAAUAGAGGGCAGUGCUGUCUGCAGCACGGAGGAGAGGAAUCCGGGGGAGUGCAGUGAAGGGGCUUGCGGUAUAAAGAUAAAGAAACAAAAACUGCCUCUUUGGCAGCACCGAGAGCAUCAGUUCCCUUGGGCAGCGAGAAGGACACGGAUAGAAGCAAUCUGGACAGAGGGAACACAGCAAGCAUUCACUCUCUUUCGGUUAAAUCCUUCCAAACUCAUAUUUUAUUUCUGUUUUAAUAAUGUGUAACUAAUUUUAUUUUGGCUAGAGGUUAAU